UACGUAGGGGGCGAGCGUUGUCCGGAGUUACUGGGCGUAAAGCGUGCGCAGGCGGUUGCACAAGACAGAGGUGAAAUCCCCGGGCUCAACCUGGGAACUGCAUUUGUGACUGCAUCGCUGGAGUGCGGCAGAGGGGGAUGGAAUUCCGCGUGUAGCAGUGAAAUGCGUAGAUAUGCGGAGGAACACCGAUGGCGAAGGCAAUCCCCUGGGCCUGCACUGACGCUCAUGCACGAAAGCGUGGGGAGCAAACAGG
rnacentral:rRNA from 1 species